CCUACGGGAGGCAGCAGUGGGGAAUAUUGGACAAUGGGCGAAAGCCUGAUCCAGCCAUGCCGCGUGUGUGAAGAAGGCCUUCGGGUUGUAAAGCACUUUCAGUGGGGAAGAAAGCCUUGGGGCUAAUACCCUCGAGGAAGGACAUCACCCACAGAAGAAGCACCGGCUAACUCCGUGCCAGCAGCCGCGGUAAUACGGAGGGUGCGAGCGUUAAUCGGAAUUACUGGGCGUAAAGCGCGCGUAGGCGGUCUGAUAAGCCGGUUGUGAAAGCCCCGGGCUCAACCUGGGAACGGCAUCCGGAACUGUCAGGCUAGAGUGCAGGGGAGGAAAGUAGAAUUCCCGGUGUAGCGGUGAAAUGCGUAGGGAUCGGGAGGAAUACCAGUGGCGAAGGCGGCCUUCUGGACUGACACUGACGCUGAGGUGCGAAAGCGUGGGUAGCAAACAGGAUUAGAUACCCGUGUAGUC
rnacentral:rRNA from 1 species